rnacentral:rRNA from 1 species
GACGAACGCUGGCGGCGUGCCUAAUACAUGCAAGUAGAACGCACAGUUUAUACCGUAGCUUGCUACACCAUAAACUGUGAGUUGCGAACGGGUGAGUAACGCGUAGGUAACCUGCCUGGUAGCGGGGGAUAACUAUUGGAAACGAUAGCUAAUACCGCAUAAUAUUGAUUAUUGCAUGAUAAUUGAUUGAAAGAUGCUAUUGCAUCACUACCAGAUGGACCUGCGUUGUAUUAGCUAGUAGGUGAGGUAACGGCUCACCUAGGCGACGAUACAUAGCCGACCGGAGAGGGUGAUCGGCCACACUGGGACUGAGACACGGCCCAGACUCCUACGGGAGGCAGCAGUAGGGAAUCUUCGGCAAUGGACGAAAGUCUGACCGAGCAACGCCGCGUGAGUGAAGAAGGUUUUCGGAUCGUAAAGCUCUGUUGUAAGAGAAGAACGGGUGUGAGAGUGGAAAGUUCACACUGUGACGGUAGCUGACCAGAAAGGGACGGCUAACUACGUG